GACGAACGCUGGCGGCGUGCCUAAUACAUGCAAGUCGGACGCUGAAGGAGGAGCUUGCUUCUCUGGAUGAGUUGCGAACGGGUGAGUAACGCGUAGGUAACCUGCCUGGUAGCGGGGGAUAACUAUUGGAAACGAUAGCUAAUACCGCAUAAUAGUAGAUGUUGCAUGACAUUUGCUUAAAAGGUGCAAUUGCAUCACUACCAGAUGGACCUGCGUUGUAUUAGCUAGUUGGUGGGGUAACGGCUCACCAAGGCGACGAUACAUAGCCGACCUGAGAGGGUGAGCGGCCACGCUGGGACGGAGACACGGCCCAGACUCCUACGGGAGGCAGCGGUAGGGAAGCUUCGGCAAUGGACGGAAGUCUGACCGAGCAACGCCGCGUGAGGGAAGAAGGGUGUCGGAUCGUAAAGCUCUGUUGUAAGAGAAGAACGAGUGUGAGAGUGGAAAGUUCACACUGUGACGGUAUCUGACCAGAAAGCGACGGCUAACUACGUG
rnacentral:rRNA from 1 species